rnacentral:siRNA from 1 species
GGCAAUCAUGGUUUCAAUGUAGGC